AGAAUCAACGCUGGCGGCGUGCCUAACACAUGCAAGUCGAACGCGGUUACCCGCAAGGGUGACUGAGUGGCGAACGGGUGAGUAACACGUGGGUGACCUGCCCUUGAGUGGGGGGAUAACAUCCCGAAAGGGGUGCUAAUACCGCAUGACAUCCUGCCUUUGAACAGGUGGACAUUAAAGCUGGGGAUCGCAAGACCUGGCGCUCGAGGAGGGGCUCGCGCCCGAUUAGCUAGUUGGUGAGGUAACGGCUCACCAAGGCUACGAUCGGUA
rnacentral:rRNA from 1 species